GCCGGGCACGACAACAUGCUAACAAACGGAAGAUGAAGCUAGCAAUCUACAGAUUAUGAUAGCAUGCUAACAGGUCGAACCUAAACGAUUCCAGGUCACAGUAAUAUCCAAAACGAUUGAAGCUAAAGAUCCUGGUCAGUUCCUUUCACUAAACCACUUCAGACGCAGGUGGAUGUGGAAAACUCUGUGUGUCUUAUCAGGGAAUUGGUUUCCAUCAGCACAGGAAGCGCUGAAGCACAUCUGACUUCGUUAUCCGGCAGAUGAGAGUGUUGUUUGCGUAGGAGAGGACUUUCUGCAGGAAUGUGUGAGUGUUGGGAUGCAGAUCUGCAGUGUGGUUAACAUCCGGGCCGAGGUAGGUCUGAAUGUGGUUUCCUUUACAGAACGUGACCGGAGGAAGAGGCUGAAUGUGGUUUCACUUUAAAGAGCUCAUCCGGAGCUCAGCAAGGAAAAUCUUUGGAGAAACAUUCAAACCAGGACGUCCUGAUCUGAGGGUGAAUGUCCCUGUAGAUUCCUGAAGUCUUUUCUAGAGUCAGAGUUAAUGUGGUGUUUAGAGAGAAGCUCCUACAAGUUCUAGUGUCCAGGAAACUUUUCUCUUGUUUGUUGUUGUUUGUCUGCAGCUUUAAACCUGAGUGACUCCAUGUGUUUAGAUGAUCUACCACCAUCUCACCACAUCCACACAGGUUCCAGGUCACAUCUGAUUAGUUUUCAUUAUUACUCUCUGUUUAUUUUUCAGUUCUUCCAGAUAAAUGAGAGUAAACCAGUUUUACGUCUCAGGAUGAUGUUUCUGAUAAAUGAUCUCAGAGGAUUAAACUGGAACAUUAAAACAAAUGGUUUUAACGCCAUUCAACACGU